rnacentral:rRNA from 1 species
GACGAAGGGGGCUAGCGUUGUUCGGAAUUACUGGGCGUAAAGCGCGUGUAGGCGGUUGCCCAAGUCGGGUGUGAAAGCCUUGAGCUCAACUCAAGAAAUGCACUCGGUACUGGGUGACUAGAGGACCGGAGAGGAUAGUGGAAUUCCCAGUGUAGUGGUGAAAUACGUAGAGAUUGGGAAGAACACCAGUGGCGAAGGCGGUUUCCUGGCCCAGUACUGACGCUGAGGCACGAAAGCGUGGGGAGCGAACGGG